rnacentral:tRNA from 1 species
GCUAAAAUAGCAAAGGGGAAAUGCGAGAAGUCUAAGCUUUCUUUAUCGAAGGUUCAAGUCCUUCUUUUAGCU